rnacentral:lncRNA from 1 species
CUAAAGUACAGAAUGAAAUGCUGAAAACAAUAAUUUUAAAUAAAAUCUGGCAACAAUGAGAAAAAAAUGCAGUUGUUAGAGAAAGAUAAGAGACAGGGAACCUCACGAGAACAAUACUACAGGGGUGAAUGGAAGGGAGCUCAGAACACCUAUGCAAGUUUCUGUAUGUGCAGAGCAAAUCUCAGUGAGAACUGAUGGUGAGCUUUUGUCAGUACUCCUCCAGUUUGAAGAAAUACAGGCCCAUAAAUACUGGACUGUAAUUAUUGAAGAUCUAAAUAUCUUAUGGAACACAUCACAG